CCUACGGGAGGCAGCAGUGGGGAAUAUUGCACAAUGGGGGAAACCCUGAUGCAGCGACGCCGCGUGAGUGAAGAAGUAAUUCGUUAUGUAAAGCUCUAUCAGCAGGGGAGAAAAUGACGGUACCUGAGUGAGAAGCCCCGGCUAACUACAUGCCAGCAGCCGCGGUUAUACGUAGGGGGCCAGCGUUAUCCGGAUGUACUGGGUGUAAAGGGGGCGUAGACGGCAGGUCAAGUCUGUAGUGAGAGGCUGGGGCUCAACCCCCAGACUGCUCUGGAAACUGUACGGUUGGAGUGCAGGAGAGGUAAGUGGAAUUCGUAGUGUAGCGGUGAAAUGCGUAGAUAUUAGGAGGAACACCAGUGGCGAAGGCGGCUUACUGGACUGUAACUGACGUUGAGGCUCGAAAGCGUGGGGAGCAAACAGGAUUAGAUACCCCUGUAGUC
rnacentral:rRNA from 1 species